rnacentral:rRNA from 1 species
CUUGCUUCUCUUGAGAGCGGCGGACGGGUGAGUAAUGCCUAGGAAUCUGCCUGGUAGUGGGGGAUAACGUUCGGAAACGGACGCUAAUACCGCAUACGUCCUACGGGAGAAAGCAGGGGACCUUCGGGCCUUGCGCUAUCAGAUGAGCCUAGGUCGGAUUAGCUAGUUGGUGGGGUAAUGGCUCACCAAGGCGACGAUCCGUAACUGGUCUGAGAGGAUGAUCAGUCACACUGGAACUGAGACACGGUCCAGACUCCUACGGGAGGCAGCAGUGGGGAAUAUUGGACAAUGGGCGAAAGCCUGAUCCAGCCAUGCCGCGUGUGUGAAGAAGGUCUUCGGAUUGUAAAGCACUUUAAGUUGGGAGGAAGGGUUGUAGAUUAAUACUCUGCAAUUUUGACGUUACCGACAGAAUAAGCACCGGCUAACUCUGUGCCAGCAGCCGCGGUAAUACAGAGGGUGCAAGCGUUAAUCGGAAUUACUGGGCGUAAAGCGCGCGUAGGUGGUUUGUUAAGUUGGAUGUGAAGUCCCCGGGCUCAACCUGGGAACUGCAUUCAAAACUGACUGACUAGAGUAUGGUAGAGGGUGGUGGAAUUUCCUGUGUAGCG